UAGCUUUAUUAGGUGACAAAUAUCACUUAUGGGGGCAAAUUAGGUCCAAAGUAACCAUUUGUCAGACAAUUAGAUGGUAUUAGUUACAUAAUUGGUACCUUUUGUGCCAUUCAUUGGUUGCCGCCAUUAUUUAAUAUUUUUCUGCAACGUUCCAGUUGCACACGAACCAGAAAAACUUGGAAAGUUCUCUCUGCAAAACAACUGCUCACUCAUGGUCUUCCCAAUGAGAUGCACUGUUUGCAGGUUCUCUUUCUUUCUUUCCUUGUCUUUCUUUCUUUCCUCUUCUCUUUCUUCACAUUUCCCAUCUACCUCCUCUGUCCGGAUCAAACCCAACACAAAAAACCUAGAACAGGUAUCCAACAUUAAUGAUUCGAAGGAGCUUUGGAAACCUGCUCCGAUGAAAUCCGUGUGUAUGAACUUCCCACCAUCAAAGAUACAACACAUAUGUUGAUGUUGAGGUUAUUGGGAUUUUUUUCCUAUUUUUCUGAAUACUGUUUUGAACUUUAUUUUCUUUAGCUCAUGGAAGCCUUGGUGACUGGUUUUGUGGUUUUGAAUCAGGUAAUGGUUGCUUCUGUGUUUGCUUUAGCGGAUGAAACCCUUGUUUUAUUCUGCAGGAAACAAAAACAAGGUGAUGAGGCGGUAAACAACGUUUGUUUUCCAUCACACGUCUCAUCCGUGGAGCAGGGAUCAAAUACUAACCUGGAUGGAACAUAAAUUGCCAUUAUCGUACGAUUUUCAUAAAUAUAUGGUUCAAAGCAUGGAAGACGAAUUUCAUGGCAUUCUAGGAAUAAGCUGGACGCUUUGGAUUUAUGAUGCAAAACUCUAAGUGUCCAAAACAUAGAAACAACCUCAAACUGGUGCAGUAUCAAAUCCUGUGCAGCAAGCUUCAUCGUCUCCCAACUGCCCGCCCUCUCCCACAAGCAAUACCUACUGCAUCAUCAGUAAGUGGUGGCUCAGGUUCUGCUGGAACUGGUAACAGGGUUUCUGUUGAUGACAUAGUUUAAAAAGUUGCUACUGUGGGAUUCCUUAGAGACCAUGUGAGGGCAACGGUUUGGAAGCUGACAGAGAAUGGUUAAUUGUUCUGAGUAUGUGGUGUUUCGGAUAUGGAUCAACUUCCACUGCUCGUGAUUUUGAAAUCUAUGCUCCCGAUGCUUUCUCCGAGCAUCCUCUUAUGCGUGCACACGAGUAUGUACUACUCUUUCAAACAUGGUUGCUACUACUGACAUUAUUCAAAUUCUAUUUUAUUUAUGGAUUAAAUGUCUAGCUUCCUGUUUUUUUAAUGGUUAUAAGGGAGAACAUUGAGAAGGUACAUUAAGAAACCUUUUUCUCAUUCAUAUUCACUAAUGUGCCUUGACCAUUGAUGUAGGUUGAAGUGUGAUAAGUCUCCAACAUCCGCGUUUGAACUCAGAUAACUCUCAUUUUGCUUCUCCAAUUUUAAUUCCUAAGUUGAAAUUUAAUUUAUGAUUUUCCUGUAAACAACAGAGAACCUUUUGGGUCCACCGGGUUCUGGGAAAACAACAUUGCUUCUUGCACUUGCUAGAAAACUUGAUCCUAAUUUAAGGGCUUCUGGGAAAACUUGUGCUUAUAUUAGUCAUUAUGACAUGGAGAAGUUACUGUGAGAGAGACAUUGGAUUUUUCAUCACGUUGUUUAGGUGUUGGCAAUAGCUAUGAAACUUUGAUGGAACUCUCAAGAAGGGAGAGAGAAGCUGGAAUCAAACCAGACCCCGAGAUUGAUGCUUUCAUGAAGGCUGCUGCAUUAUAUGGCCAAAAAACCAGUUUUGUAACUGAUUAUGUUCUCAAGAUGCUUGGAUUGGAUAUAUGUGCUGACACCAUGGUUGGUGAUGAAAUGAGAAGGGGUAUCUCUGGAGGACAAAAGAAGCCAAUAACAACAAGUUCUAUUCUUUUCUAUUACAUUCUUAAUAAACAAUCUGAGCUUAUUAAACAUUUAUCUCACAGGCAUUUUGUAGCUAUUUAUGAAUCUGUACAUAUUGCUUUUGUUGGAACUUAUAGGGGAAAUGUUGGUAGGACCAGCAAAAGCAUUUUUAUGGAUGAAAUUUCAACAGAAUUGGAUAGUUCGACCACUUUUCAGAUAUGCAAGUUCAUGAGACAAGUAGUGGAACUGACUGUAGUCAUUUCUCUUUUACAGCCAGCGCCUGAGACAUUUGAAUUGUUUGACGAUAUUAUUCUACUUUCAGAAGGUCAAAUUUUCUACCAAGGUCCACGCAAACACGUGCUAGAGUUCUUUGAAAACACGGGUUUUAGGUGUCCAGAUAGAAAAGGUGUCGUUGAUUUCUUACAAGAAGUAACAUCCAAGAAAGAUCAAGAACAAUACUGGUCUAGAAGAGAUGAACCUUAGACAAAAGAUGGAGUGAGCCAAAUACGAACACAAGAAUUGAUGCAUCAACAGUUGGAGAAGUACUUCUCAAAUCCAGAGGCCUGUAUGCAGAAGAUUAUUGGUAUUGGAUAUCCAUUGAAGCCUUGGUUGGGUUUUUUCUUCUCUUCAACCUUUUCUUCAUUCUCGCAUUAACUUAUUUGAGUACGUUCGGUGAUUUGAAAGCAGUCACUGCGGAUGAAAACCACAAGAAGAAUGAAAGUUCAUCCGCUAGACAUCAUCAACUUGAACGUUUGAACCUACAUAUUUGUAUACUUCCUCCUUAAUAAUAUAUUGGUGAUUCUAAGUGUAUCUCAUUAUCAUUUAUAGAAGUGUGUGUAUAACUUAAUACUUAGCAGCAUUAAUUUUUUUAUAACAAGUUUUUGUUAGUUAGUUGCAGCAAUAUUUUCAGGAAAUUUUAGUUAUUCAAAGUUAUCUUUUUUUUAUCAAUAGUUGCAAAUAGUUCUCAUGAAUUCAAUGGAAACAUGUUAUUUAACACUGCUAUGUGUUUCUGAUUAAAAACAAGUACCGACAUGGCAAUAAGAAAUUCUUCUGAUGGUAUGAAUUCAUCAAACCAUGAACCAAAAAGAGGAAUGGCUCUACCAUUUCAACCACUUUCUAUAACAUUCAAUCAUAUAAACUACUAUGUAGACAUGCCAGCAGUAAGUCUCUCAAUUCUAAGCAUUGCAUUUUUCUAUGUUGUUGGAUUAUUUAACCUUACGAGUUAUAUUUUAUGACUUUCAUGACAUCAGGAAAUGAAGAGUCAAGGAGUGAAUAAGAAUAAACUUCAAGUACUACAAGAUGUUAGUGGUGCUUUUAGACCAGGAAUAUUAACAGCACUUGUAGGUUUAGCGGUGCUAGAAAAGACAACGCUCAUGGAUGUAUUAGCUGGAAGAAAAAACAGGUGGAUAUAUAUUGAAGGAAAUAUCAGCAUAUCAUGUUACCAAAAGAACCAAACAACAUUCACUCGAAUAAGUUGUGAACAUAAUGAUAUUCAUUCUCCACAUGUUACUAUCUAUGAAUCACUACUGUUUUUGGUGUGACUUCGUCUUCCUUCAGAUUUAAAGACACAAACUCGAAAGAUGUUUGUGGAAGAAGUUAUGGAGUUGGUAGAGCUUAAACCCCUUAGAGAUGCUCUUGUGGGGCUUCCAGGUGUGAAUGGUUUGUCAACGAACAACCCUUCAAUCAUCUUCAUGGAUGAACCAACUUCUAGAAACCUAUCCUAUGGUGAUAUAAGCAAGCUGUUAUUUUAGAAUCAUACUAGAAAAAAAUUAAUUCUUUGAUUCAGUGUCUUUAGUUGGCUUUCAUAAUGCGAUGCUUUGAAAAUUCAACCCUCAUGGACUUGCAAGUAGUUCCAUGUUAUCAUAUCUAUAACUGUAACAUUGUCCAUGUUAUCAUAUUUUCUCUCUCUCGGAA